GUAACAGAUAGUUCGAUCCUCCGGUCGACAACGCUGGCGGGAUGUUUGAUGCAAGUCGAACGGCAGCACGGACUUUGUCGGUGGCGAGUGGCGAACGGGUGAGUAAUGUAUCGGAACGCGCCAGUAGUUGCGGGGGAUAACUACGCGAAAGCGUAGCUAAUACCGCAUAUGCCCUUCGGGGAAAGUGGGGACCUUCGGGCCUCGCACUAUUAGAGCGGCCGAUAUCGGAUUAGCUAGUUAUGGGGUAACGGCUCACCAGGCGACGAUCCGGCGGCUCGAGAGACGAUCAGCCACACUGGGACCGACACGCCCAGACUCCCGGCGGAGGGCAGUGGGGAAUUUUGGACAAUGGGGAACCUGAUCCAGCCAUCCCGCGUGUGAUGUUUCGGGUUGUAAAGCACUUUGCAGGAAAGAAACGGCACGGGAUAUACCCCAGGCAACUGGAUACAGGUACUCGGUAGGAAUACACCGGCACAUGUGCCAGCAGCCGCGGUAAUGUAAAAGGGCAAUCUGACCACGGGCGUAAGCGUGCGCAGGCGGUUCGGAAAGAAGAUGAAAUCCCAGAGACGCAACUUGCUUUGGAACUGCAUUUUUAACUACCGAUAUAAAGCCGAGGGAGGUGACCGCGUGUAGCAGUGAAAUGCAGGUGGAGGAACACCGAUGGCGAAGGCAGCUCAGAUAACACUGACGCUCAUGCACACGAAAGCGUGGGGAGCAAAUGUAUUAUUCUGCAGUAGUCCACGCCCUAAACGAUGUCAGUCUAUUGGUUGGGGCCGGGCCUUGGUAGCGCAGCUAACGGGCAGUGAAGUUGACCGCCUGGGGAGUACGGUCGCAAGAUUAAACCGUGAGAAUUGACGGGGACUCGCACAAGCGGUGGAUGAUGUGGACACCUGAUGCAACGCGAAACCUUACCUACCCUUGACAUGUCUGGAAUCCCGGAAGAGAUUUGGGAGUGCUCGCAAGAGAACCGAACACAGGGCGCUGCAUGGCUGCCGUCAGUUUCCGUGUCGUGAGAUGUUAAGUUAAGUCCCGCAACGAGCGCAACCCUUGUCAUUAGUUGCUACGAAAGGGCACUCUAAUGAGACUGCCGGUGACAAACCUUGCGGAAGGUGGGGAUGACGUCAAGUCCUCAUGGCCCUUAAGGGUGGGCUUCACACGUCAUACAAUGGUCGGGACAGAGGGUCGCCAACCCGCGAGGGGAGCCAAUCCCAGAAAAACCCGAUCGUAGUCCGGAUCGCAGUCUGCAACUCGACUGCGUGAAGUCGGAAUCGCUAGUAAUCGCGGAUCAGGUCAGUGAAUACGUUCCCGGGUCUUCGGUGUACACACCGCCCGUCACACCACAUGGGAGUGGGUUUUACCAGAAGUAGUUAGCUCAACUGUAAGGAGGGCGAUACUACACGGAGACUCAUGACUGGGGUGAAGUCGUAACAAGGCAA
rnacentral:rRNA from 1 species